GUCUAAUUAGCUUAUAUGGUAAAGCAACGGUCUGAAAAGCCGUGGAACAGGGUUCGAAUCCCGAUAGACC
rnacentral:tRNA from 1 species